AUGCUGCCCGCAUGUUCGCUGGCGUUGCCGGCAGCAUGCCCAGGCAGUCGAGACCUUCGAGGCUGCGGCGCGGUUCACCGUGCUGGUUGCCAUUCUUCGUCGGACGCAGCCGCGUCCAUCCACCCCAAGGGACAUACCUCCCUUGCGGGC
rfam:Burkholderiales bacterium 70-64 SCNpilot_expt_1000_bf_scaffold_430, whole genome shotgun sequence.